rnacentral:rRNA from 1 species
UACCAGCACCCCGAGUGGUCGGGACGUUUAUUGGGCCUAAAGCAUCCGUAGCCGGUUCUACAAGUCUUCCGUUAAAUCCACCUGCUUAACAGAUGGGCUGCGGAAGAUACUAUGGAGAUAGGAGGCGGGAGAGGCAAGCGGUACUCGAUGGGUAGGGGUAAAAUCCGUUGAUCCAUUGAAGACCACCAGUGGCGAAGGCGGCUUGCCAGAACGCGCUCGACGGUGAGGGAUGAAAGCUGGGGGAGCAAACCGG